rnacentral:lncRNA from 10 species
AAAGACUUCUUUAAAAAAGCGUUUUUGUUAAGGAGUCUGGGAAUCAUGGAAUCAUAGUGACCAGUAACUGUUAUGGACUGGAUUGUAUCCCCCUCCAAUUCAGUUAUGGUGCUGCUUCAGAAAGAAAAGAGAUAGUUUCCCUUGCAAAGUUAUCAAAGUGCUCCCCAGAAGACAUUAGGUAUUUGCUUUCUAGUCUACAUACAAUGAAAAGGAAAAAACGUCAGUUCCUGAAGCUCUCUCAAAACAUCAACAGAUGGAAAGACGUGCCCAUGUCCUCCCCUCCCUCCACUCUGGGGGCUUGGAAAUGCUGCAGCAGGGAGCAGGCCCCAGGCUGGACCUGCCCUGUCCUCACGACGAGUGUGUGCAAAAGUGAACAAUAAAUCAUUUCAAAGAUGCAAGGAAGAAAAACCAAAACAUCAACAGAAUCUUCUUUCCCAUAAUCUUCAUGCACCUCCUGGUCCGGAUGAGUUUAUGUUCCCAUCUCCGAGCACAGGGAUUGAUUGUGAUGGCAUUUAUAGGACUGAGUGCCCCACACUCUGUGAUCCAGCAUGGAGUUAUGAUUUACAUCACCACAGGAAGAGUACAGAGGCUUCAACAGAAAAAAAGCAAAAACAACAGACCUUCAUUCAGCUUAGGAACAUAAUAAAUAGGACGAAGUUGAAUAAACGAAAUGGAGGGGAGUGAAGUAUUCCAGAUGGAAGAGGCAGUACGUGGCCAAGAGGAAACAGACCAUGUGCGCUGGAGAAAAAGGAUGGCCAGACUUGCAGAAACCUGGAAUUGGUGAUUGGCUUUAGAAGUGGAGAGACAAAAAAGGAGGCAUAGAAAGUGCCAACAUUUGGCUACACAGGGAAGAAAGACGUAAAAUAAUAAAAACAUUGGCAUCACCUGUAGACUCAAAUCCUGUGAGUGAAGGACCUGAGCAAUGAAGGAUGGAUUGAACUCGUGAUUAGCCUUCUUCAGCAUAUGUAAAAUGAUGUCUGCUUUUCUUCUCUAUUUGUCAUUUUACCGACUUUUUAUAUAUAGUAGUUUCCCCAUAUCCAUGGAGGAUGUAUCCCAAGACCCCCAGAGGAUGCUUGAAACCACAGAUAAUAACAAACUCUAUGUAUCCUAUGAUUUUUCCUGUACAUCCUUACCUAUCAUAAAGUGAGUGUAUAAACUAGGCACAGGAGAUUAAAAACAAUAACUCAUAAUAAAAUAGAACAAUUAGUACAACCUAAUGAAAGUUAUCUGAAUGUGAUCUCUCUCAAAAUAUCUUAUUGUAGUGUACCAUGGGUAACUGAAAUGAUAGAAAACAAAAUUGCUGAUAAAGGGGGAUAUUGUAGUAAAAUAAAGGGGGAUGGGUAGAGCGUAGGAAGCAUUCACAAUUAGAACAGUUGGCAGUAGGGAAAGAAACAUACUUUAAAUUGGAAUGUGGAUCACAUGGCUGCCUCCUGCCAGUCAUGAUCGCAGGGUACAGAGGCCUCUGGUAUGUCAGGUCUUCUCUCCCACCACUAAUACUGCCCAAAAGACUCCAUCAGCAACCAGAGCUGAAUCACACACAACCCAGAUUGUCAUUUCUGAUGACUUUGACUUAAACAAACAGACAUAUUUUUAAUCUUUUUAGUGUGUGUGAAACUAGCAAGGCCUAAUGAAUUGAGUAUAUGGAUGAGGUUUGUGGCCUCUGUAACGUUUUCUCCAACCAGAACCUACUGAAAUAGCACAGAUGGUGAUGAGUAUGGUUCAAACACAAGAAUUCUUGGAAAUUGAAGUUGAAGUAUAAGGAGAAUUUUUACAUCACCCAGGUUCUAAUUUGGAAGGUUUCUAACAGCCCUCUGUCCUCUUCUGGUGCUCACUGUGAAAGAAUUUGCACCCUGCAACACUAAGUGUUUGUGCUAGAAUCCACUUCUGAUGUUGGCUGCUCUGACACAGCUUCCAUUCGUUUUAUUUCUUACAGUUCUGGAGGCUGGGGAGUCCACCCCAGGUGCUGGCAUCUUGUGAGAACCCUCCUGCUGUGUCAUUCCAUGGCAGAAGGCAAAAGUGCAAGAGAAUGCCAGAGAGCAAGAAGGGGAAGAACUCAGUUUUAUAACAAACUCACUCUCAAGAUAACUAACCCAUUCCUGCUAUAGCAACAUUCAUCCAUUCAUGAGGGCAGAGCCCACAUGACCCAAUCACAUCUUACUUGGCUGCAUCUCUCAACACUGUUCCAUUAGGAAUUAAGUAUUUAACACAUGACCUUUGGGAGACGCAUUCAAACCAUAGCAUAUGUCCUCUAUGCAGUUGCCUUGUCUAGAUGUAGGACACUGAGAAUUUACCACCCUUCCAGCAUUGACGUGCUCUCUAGGUGGCUCAAGAAUUCUUGGCUGUGUCUCCACCAGGCUUCAAGACCCUCCAUUAGCCUGGCUUUUGGACCUCUGUGGUUCCAGCCCUUGCUAGACACGGGUUUCUCUAAGAGAUCUGUAUUCUCCACAGUCUGUAUACAGAAAAGAUAGUCUCAAAUCUCCUCUGAUUUAGGGCCCUGAUAAAAAUUACUUGGUCUUCUACUCUACAACCUCACCAUACCCCUUCAGGUUUUGAACCUGGGAGAGACAGAAUAUGGAACACUUUCUUAAAAAUAAAUGCAUACUUGACAUUAAUAAGGGAUUUACAAUCUAUUCACUAUGAAAUCCUCAGGAACAUGUAGGUUUUUCCAAGAAGUAAAAAACAAUUAUUUUCAUUUAAGUCAUAUGUCAAUUAACAAUAUUUUUUACACAAUUAAAAAUCUCAUUUUUGUUAUGAAAUGUGAAACACAUUUCCUUUGUUUUUGAGGCAGGGUCUCACUCUUGUCGCCCAGACUGCAUUGCAGUGGGGUGAUCUCGGCUCAUUGCAACCUCUGUCUCCCGGAUUCAAGCAAUUCUCCUGCCUCAGCCCCCCAAGUAGCUGGGUUUACAGGUAUGUGCAACCAUGCCCAGCUAAUUUUUUUUUGUAUUUUUUUCAGUAGACAUGGUUUUUUUUUUUAAAUUUUAUUAUUAUUAUACUUUAAGUUUUAGGGUACAUGUGCGCAACGUGCAGAUUUGUUACAUAUGUAUAUAUGUGCCAUGUUGGUGUGCUGCACCCAUUAACUCGUCAUUUAGCAUUAGGUAUAUCUCCUAAUGCUAUCCCUCCCCACUCCCACCACCCCACAACAGUCC